GACAGCGUGGUGUAGUUGGUUUAUCACACCUGAUUCACACACAGGAGGACCUCAGUUCGAACCUGGGCGCUGGCA